GGUAUGUAACAAUAUAACAAUACUACAUUGUUGUUACUAGUGUAAUAAUAGCAUAACCACACAUAUCUACCUAGCUAUACAUGUCUACUUUGAUAACAAGGUUGCCAAGAAAAUUUAAUAAUUAUUUCCUUUUCAAAUGUGAUAAAAGUAGCCCUUUGCAAUGCACCCUUCUAUCUUAUAGUGCAUCCAGCGUUGUAUCUCCUCUCUUUCUAGGUGCCUUCACACAAAGCCCUCUUUUCACUUCUCAAACAAGUUCAGGCUAGCUUUGUAAUGGGCAAUCGCCAUGAAAAGCCAGAGUCAGUCAGACAGGAAGAGACCAUACAAUAAUUGAAAUAUGCAGUACUACAAUACCCUUGUAUAACACUAUUGACAUGUAAGGGCCCAUAGAAACUAAAUGAAUACAUUUUAGCAGAGUUGGGUUGCCAGACGCUGUCCGUCCGUCCGUCCGUCUGUCUUUCUUCCAAUUUUGCUAUGUUCAGGUCAAUUGAGCAGCUUGGUUUUAGAAGAGUGACUGACAGACAAGCAGCGUAACCUCUCAGUCAUCUCAGGAAACGUCAUACCCAGGGGCUGCACAGCUUUUACUUCCAUUAGUCUUCAUUUCAGGAUCGCACAGGGCUUUGACGUCCACUAAAAGAAGGCUGUGUGCAAACAUACGUCCUUCUUCAUGAAGAAAAAACAAGGAUUACUUUAGGAUGACACAAUGAAAGUUAUUUAGAGGGGCGGUUUAUUUUGGGUGACCUUCAAUAUUGACUAAAAAGAGACCAAAAUAAGGACAAUGACCCAACACACCUCCAGGCUGUGUUAGGGCUAUUUGACCAAGAAGGAGAGUGAUGGAGUGCUGCAUCAGAUGUCCUGGCCUCCACAAUCCCACGAGCUCAACCAAGUUGAGAUGGUUUUGGACGAGUUGGACCGCAGAGUGAAGGAAAAGCAGCCAACAAGUGCUCAGGAUAUGUGGGAACUCCUUCAAGACUUUUGGAAAAGCAUUCUAGGUGAAGCUGGUUAAGAGAAUGCUAAGAGUGUGCAAAGCUGUCAUCAAGGCAAAGGGUGGCUACUUUGAAUAAUCUCAAAUAUAAAAUAUUUGUUUAACACUUUUUAGGUUACU
rnacentral:lncRNA from 1 species